rnacentral:rRNA from 1 species
UACGGAAGGGGCAAGCGUUGUUCGGAAUUAUUGGGCGUAAAGGGCGUGUAGGUGGUUCUGUAUGUCUACCGUGAAAGCGUACGGCUCAACCGUAUUUAGUCGGUAGAAACUGCAGGACUUGAGGCUGGGAGGGGCUGGUGGAAUUCCCCGUGUAGCGGUGAAAUGCGUAGAGAUGGGGGAGAACACUCGUGGCGAAGGCGGCCAGCUAGACCAGUUCUGACACUGAGGCGCGAUAGCGUGGGGAGCAAACAGG